AGAGUUUGAUCCUGGCUCAGAAUCAACGCUGGCGGCGUGCCUCAGACAUGCAAGUCGAACGCGAAAGUCCCCUUCGGGGGGCGAGUAGAGUGGCGCACGGGUGAGUAACACGUAGGUAAUCUACCUUUGGAUGGGGAAUAACAACCGGAAACGGUUGCUAAUACCGCAUAAUGCAGCGGCACCUAAUGGUGACAGUUGUUAAAGCGGGGGAUCGAAAGACCUCGCGUCUAAAGAGGAGCCUGCGGCGGAUUAGCUAGUUGGUAAGGUAACGGCUUACCAAGGCGAUGAUCCGUAGCCGGCCUGAGAGGGCGGUCGGCCACACUGACACUGACAUACGGGUCAGACUCCUACGGGAGGCAGCAGUCGGGAAUUUUGGGCAAUGGGCGAAAGCCUGACCCAGCAACGCCGCGUGAAGGAUGAAAUCCCUCGGGAUGUAAACUUCGCAAGAACGGGAAGAAUAAGUAAGAGUUAACACCUCUUACGAUGACGGUACUGUUUGUAAGCUCCGGCUAACUCCGUGCCAGCAGCCGCGGUAAUACGGGGGGAGCAAGCGUUGUUCGGAUUUACUGGGCGUAAAGGGCGCGUAGGCGGCCACCGCAAGUCGGUAGUGAAAUCUCCGGGCUUAACCCGGAAAGGUCAACCGAUACUGCGGGGCUAGAGUGCAGAAGGGGCAACUGGAAUUCUCGGUGUAGCGGUGAAAUGCGUAGAUAUCGAGAGGAACACCUGCGGCGAAAGCGGGUUGCUGGGCUGACACUGACGCUGAGGCGCGAAAGCUAGGGGAGCGAACGGGAUUAGAUACCCCGGUAGUCCUAGCCUUAAACGAUGAAUGCUUGGUGUCUGGGGUUUUAUAGUCCCCGGGUGCCGUCGCUAACGCUUUAAGCAUUCCGCCUGGGGAGUACGGUCGCAAGACUGAAACCCAAGAAUUGACGG
rnacentral:rRNA from 1 species